AAGCUCGUAGUUGAAUUUCGGGAUCAAUAUAUUGGUCGUGCCUCCGGUAUGCACUGGUAUUAUUGAUUUCUACCUUCUGACGAACUGUGAUGUCAUUAAUUUGGUGUCAUGGGGAAUCAGGACUGUUACUUUGAAAAAAUUAGAGUGUUUAAAGCAGGCACACGCUUGAAUACAUUAGCAUGGAAUAAUGAAAUAGGACGUUUGAUCCUAUUUCGUUGGUUUCUAGGAUCGACGUAAUGAUUAAUAGGGAUAGUUGGG
rnacentral:rRNA from 1 species